AACGAACGCUGGCGGCAUGCCUAACACAUGCAAGUCGAACGAGACCUUCGGGUCUAGUGGCGCACGGGUGCGUAACGCGUGGGAACCUGCCCUUAGGUUCGGAAUAACUCCCCGAAAGGGGUGCUAAUACCGGAUAAUGUCUUCGGACCAAAGAUUUAUCGCCUUUGGAUGGGCCCGCGUUGGAUUAGCUAGUUGGUAGGGUAAAAGCCUACCAAGGCGACGAUCCAUAGCUGGUCUGAGAGGAUGAUCAGCCACACUGGGACUGAGACACGGCCCAGACUCCUACGGGAGGCAGCAGUGGGGAAUAUUGGACAAUGGGCGAAAGCAUGAUCCAGCAAUGCCGCGUGAGUGAUGAAGGCCUUAGGGUUGUAAAGCUCUUUUACCCGGGAUGAUAAUGACAGUACCGGGAGAAUAAGCUCCGGCUAACUCCGUG
rnacentral:rRNA from 1 species